CAAUUUUCAAUUGAUCAGAUAAUUAAAUACAAAAUACUUAUUUGGGUUUCUUCUCUUGAUUUUUUAAAACAAAUUAAGAAACAGCACAGAAAUGCUGAGCAAAAUUUGAAUCAGUAUCCUGAUUUGAUUCCUCUUGCACCACCCCCAGAGAGUGCAUCCUUACAUACUUAGAUGGCAGUAAUCAGAGGCAAAUGCCUGAAUUCAAGAACAUAAUUCAACAGCUCAGCAGUAGUGCCAACCUCAAGAUCAAGGUUUUCAGAGAAUGUUUUUUCCUCAGCUUCUAAUUGUCUGCCAUCCAGACUUGGAAGGGAAGGUGCAGAAUUGAAGUCUUCACUGAGAGCAGUUUCUUUAUCUUCUCCUAGUCUUUCUUUCUCCUCCACAUGCCUACUCUUUCUUAACAAGCUCCUUGGCAGAGGUAAAGGCUUAAAAUGGUCAUCUGUUUCAAGGCUGCUGCUAUUUUCUGCUAAAAAAUAAAAUGUUUUAAGAUGA